rnacentral:rRNA from 1 species
AUAAUGGGUCAGCGACUUAUAUUCUGUAGCAAGGUUAACCGAAUAGGGGAGCCGAAGGGAAACCGAGUCUUAACUGGGCGUUAAGUUGCAGGGUAUAGACCCGAAACCCGGUGAUCUAGCCAUGGGCAGGUUGAAGGUUGGGUAACACUAACUGGAGGACCGAACCGACUAAUGUUGAAAAAUUAGCGGAUGACUUGUGGCUGGGGGUGAAAGGCCAAUCAAAC